rnacentral:rRNA from 1 species
GUGUCAGCAGCCGCGGUAAUACGGGGGGGACGAGCGUUGUUCGGAUUUACUGGGCGUAAAGGGCGCGUAGGCGGGCCAUCAAGUCGGAUGUGAAACCUGUCAGCUUAACUGACAGCCUGCAUUUGAUACUGUUGGUCUUGAGUACAGGAGAGGAGAAUGGAAUUCCAGGUGUAGCGGUGAAAUGCGUAGAUAUCUGGAAGAACACCAGUAGCGAAGGCGGUUCUCUGGACUGAUACUGACGCUCAAGCGCGAAGGCUUGGGGAGCAAACAGGAUUAGAAACCCCCGUAGUCC